rnacentral:rRNA from 1 species
UACGGGGGGGGCAAGCGUUGUUCGGAAUCACUGGGCGUAAAGGGCGUGUAGGCGGUCAGGUAAGUGGGACGUGAAAUGCCUCGGCUCACCCGAGGAGCGGCGUCCCAUACUGCUUGGCUUGAGUACGGGAGAGGAUGUGGGAAUUCCUGGUGUAGCGGUGAAAUGCGUAGAUAUCAGGAGGAACACCGGUGGCGAAGGCGCACAUCUGGCCCGAUACUGACGCUGAGGCGCGAAAGCUAGGGGAGCAAACGGG